UCAGAUAUGGGGUGCAUUUGGGUUAAGAGAGGGAAGCUGGAAUGGGGAGAGUUGUGACUAUGGGACCUUCUGGGAUAUAGAGAGCAGCAUCAUUUGAGACAAGCAUUGGAACAGAAGCUGGGCAUGGAUUUCUCUCCUCUUGCCCCUUUAGUCUUGGAGAUAUUUUUAUGGACUAAAUUCCAAAAUGGACCAGCAGAAAUUGUUUUGAGACUAUACCACAAUGUUCCAAACUUAACAAUACUUAGGAAGUUUCUUUGAGAAGCUCAGAUUUUAAAGAAGAUUGAACUCUGCAUCACUCCUAAGUCAAUUAUUAUUUUAUUCAAACCAAAUAUAGCUACACAUUUUUAUGCAUUGUAUUGUCCACCUGCCUCAGAUCUAUAACUCUCUAGGUUAUUUUGGACCGAGAUUUAAAUCUCGUCUCAGUCAGGACAUGGUGUUCCAACUUUCAGUUGUUGGAACAUGACCCUGGGUUUGCUCUUUAUAUUGUCUACUUGAUGUAUAAUUAAAUAUGGAAACGUUUAUAGCUCCUGCAGCUCGGUAUGUAAUUAUUGUUUGCCUAUGUAAAUUGGAUUACUUAAAUUGUCAUUGGUUGUUUUAUACUUCAAUUAAGAGGAGUAUGUAAGGAAGUUUAUAUUAUAAAAGAAAUUGCAUUACCCAUGA